rnacentral:SRP_RNA from 1 species
AUGUGCUAGAUGGGGAGUUAGCGGUGCCCUGUAACCCGGAACCCGCUAUACCGGGGUCGAAUUCCCACCCGAGGAUUUAGCGAUGGUUUGAUUUCUUUCGGGUAAGUGGUGUUGACGGCUGGGUCCUGUACAACAAAAGCCUUUGAACCCCGUCAGGACCGGAAGGUAGCAGCGGUAAGAAGAUCCUUCUGUGUGUUGCAGGUCCCCCCAGCCUGAGCCGGCUGCUCGAAAGGCCUUACCGGAGCGGUUCGGAGGUGGGUGCACAA